rnacentral:rRNA from 1 species
GAUCCAGACUUUGAUUCUGGCUCAGGAUGAACGCUAGCUACAGGCUUAACACAUGCAAGUCGAGGGGAAACGACAUCGAAAGCUUGCUUUUGAUGGGCGUCGACCGGCGCACGGGUGAGUAACGCGUAUCCAACCUGCCCACCACUUGGGGAUAACCUUGCGAAAGUAAGACUAAUACCCAAUGAUAUCUCUAGAAGACAUCUGAAAGAGAUUAAAGAUUUAUCGGUGAUGGAUGGGGAUGCGUCUGAUUAGCUUGUUGGCGGGGUAACGGCCCACCAAGGCGACGAUCAGUAGGGGUUCUGAGAGGAAGGUCCCCCACAUUGGAACUGAGACACGGUCCAAACUCCUACGGGAGGCAGCAGUGAGGAAUAUUGGUCAAUGGGCGAGAGUCUGAACCAGCCAAGUAGCGUGCAGGAUGACGGCCCUAUGGGUUGUAAACUGCUUUUAUAAGGGAAUAAAGUGAGUCUCGUGAGAUUUUUUGCAUGUACCUUAUGAAUAAGGACCGGCUAAUUCCGUGCCAGCAGCCGCGGUAAUACGGAAGGUCCGGGCGUUAUCCGGAUUUAUUGGGUUUAAAGGGAGCGUAGGCCGGAGAUUAAGCGUGUUGUGAAAUGUAGACGCUCAACGUCUGCACUGCAGCGCGAACCGGUUUCCUUGAGUACGCACAAAGUGGGCGGAAUUCGUGGUGUAGCGGUGAAAUGCUUAGAUAUCACGAAGAACUCCGAUUGCGAAGGCAGCUCACUGGAGCGCAACUGACGCUGAAGCUCGAAAGUGCGGGUAUCGAACAGGAUUAGAUACCCUGGUAGUCCGCACGGUAAACGAUGGAUGCCCGCUGUUGGUCUGAAUAGGUCAGCGGCCAAGCGAAAGCAUUAAGCAUCCCACCUGGGGAGUACGCCGGCAGCGGUGCAACUCAAAGGAAUUGACGGA